rnacentral:misc_RNA from 1 species
AAAAGGAAUAAAGCAAAGUAAGACCUGGCUUGUUGGAUGCAAAAUUUCGUCAGUACACAUAUGGAGAUUCACUUGUUCUUGUUCUGAUCAUUUAGGAACCCAUACCAAGAAUAUUGUUCAAUAUGCAAACAGCAUAAACAACUUAAUUAAGCAUCAGGGACAUAUCUCAAUUUCUCAACAACCGCAAGUUUAGGUUGAUAAAAGAAGACAGCGG